rnacentral:pre_miRNA from 1 species
UUUGAUAGAAGAAUCAUAUAUACCCCUAAAUAAUUUUUUUUAAAAAAUUAGAAUUAAGAAAUUUAAAUUUAAAACUAAUUUUUUAACUUCCGUUAAGUGAAGGGUAUAUGUGAGCAAUUUUGUAACAGC